rnacentral:rRNA from 2 species
CUGCUAUCACUUACAGAUGGGCCCGCGGCGCAUUACCUAGUUGGUGAGGUAACGGCUCACCAAGGCGACGAUGCGUAGCCGACCUGAGAGGGUGAUCGGCCACACUGGGACUGAAACCCGGCCCAGACUCCUACGGGAGGCAGCAGUAGGGAAUCUUCCGCAAUGGACGAAAGUCUGACGGAGCAACGCCGCGUGAGUGAUGAAGGUUUUCGGAUCGUAAAACUCUGUUGUUAGGGAAUAACAGGUAUCGGAGUAACUGCCGGUACCUUGACGGUACCUAACCAGAAAGCCACGGCUAACUACGUGCCAGCAGCCGCGGUAAUACGUAGGUGGCAAGCGUUGUCCGGAAUUAUUGGGCGUAAAGCGCGCGCAGGCGGUUCCUUAAGUCUGAUGUGAAAGCCCACGGCUCAACCGUGGAGGGUCAUUGGAAACUGGGGAACUUGAGUGCAGAAGAGGAAAGUGGAAUUCCAAGUGUAGCGGUGAAAUGCGUAGAGAUUUGGAGGAACACCAGUGGCGAAGGCGACUUUCUGGUCUGUAACUGACGCUGAGGCGCGAAAGCGUGGGGGAGCAAACAGGA